ensembl:snoRNA snoRNA:Me28S-U1688
UCGACGAUGAUGAUUCAUGACCAGAGGUGCCACCUCCAAGGCGCUAAUUGAUGAUGCAAACCGAGCUUAUUUUAGUACACUCGAAUUUUCAGCUGCCAGUGGAAGAUUCACUGAAUAU